rnacentral:rRNA from 1 species
AUUGAACGCUGGCGGCAUGCCUAACACAUGCAAGUCGAACGGCAGCACAGUAAAGAUUUCGGUCUUUAUGGGUGGCGAGUGGCGGACGGGUGAGUAAUAUGUAGGAAUCUGCCCAGAGAUAAGGGAUAACUUAGGGAAACUUAAGCUAAUACCAUAUAAGCCCGAGAGGGGAAAGCAGGGGACCGAAAGGCCUUGCGUCUUUGGAUGAGCCUACAUCGGAUUAGCUUGUUGGUGAGGUAAAGGCUCACCAAGGCGACGAUCCGUAGCUGGUCUGAGAGGAUGACCAGCCACACGGGGACUGGGACACGCCCCAGACUCCGAAGGGAGGCAGCAGUGGGGAAUAUUGGACAAUGGGGGAAACCCUGAUCCAGCAAUGCCGCGUGUGUGAAGAAGGCCUUCGGGUUGUAAAGUACUUUCAGUUGGGAGGAAGGGGUGAGCACUAAUACUGUUCAUCAUUGACGUUACCGACAGAAGAAGCACCGGCUAACUCUGUGCCAGCAGCCGCAGUAA